rnacentral:rRNA from 1 species
AGUGAACGCUGGCGGUAGGCCUAACACAUGCAAGUCGAACGGCAGCACAGUAAGAGCUUGCUCCUACGGGUGGCGAGUGGCGGACGGGUGAGGAAUACAUCGGAAUCUACUUUUUCGUGGGGGAUAACGUAGGGAAACUUACGCCAAUACCGCAUACGACCUACGGGUGAAAGCAUGGGAUCUUCGGACCUUGCGCGAGUGAAUGAGCCGAUGUCGGAUUAGCUAGGUGGCGGGGUAAAGGCCCACCAAGGCGACGAUCCGUAGCUGGUUUGAGAGGACGACGAGCCACACUUGGACUGAGACACGGCCCAGACUCCUACGGGAGGCAGCAGUGGGGAAGUUUGGACAAUGGGGGCAACCCUGAUACAGCCAUCCCGAGUGUGCGAGGAAGGCCUUCUGGUUGUAAAGCACUUUUGGCAGGAAAGAAACGUCGCGGGCUAAUACCCCGUGGAACUGACGGUACCUGCAGAAUAAGCACCGGCUAACUACGUG